GUAAACGUCGUGUCCCGUAGACUGCGUGUUCAGCUGUUCUUAGUGCUCAGUAAAUUUCACGCCAACUAUACACAAGUGAUCACAGUGCCUACCGCUCGACACUGCACAGCACCAGCUCAACCUGCAACGCCCGGCACGCCGAAAGAAAGGUGGUGUCGCGGCGCAGACAGGUGCGAAGGGAGAGAGGGAGUCUUCAUCAACACACCUGCAAGCCAUGUCCGACAGGGGCCGCGGCGCAGAAUUUGUUCGCCGAAGAUAGAGAUAUUAUCGCUCCGUGGAUGCCGGGCGCCGAUUCCUCAAACAAAGGAGACAGCACAAGGGCACAAAAAAGGAAACAACAAUAAAAUAAAAGCCCGCUACUCGCGUAAAGAAUCCGAAGUGUAUAGUGAGAGGAAAAGAAAUAUCAUGAGCUUGAA